rnacentral:rRNA from 1 species
GUGAGGAAUCUUCCACAAUGGGCGAAAGCCUGAUGGAGCAACGCCGCGUGAAGGAUGAAGGUCUUCGGAUUGUAAACUUCUUUUAUGAGUGAAGAAUAUGAUGGUAACUCAUGAAUAAGCACCGGCUAACUACGUGCCAGCAGCCGCGGUCAUACGUAGGGUGCAAGCAUUAUCCGGAGUGACUGGGCGUAAAGAGUUGCGUAGGCGGUUAUGUAAGCGAAUAGUGAAACCUGGUGGCUCAACCACACAGACUAUUAUUCGAACUGCAUAACUCGAGAAUGGUAGAGGUAACUGGAAUUUCUUGUGUAGGAGUGAAAUCCGUAGAUAUAAGAAGGAACACCAAUGGCGUAGGCAGGUUACUGGGCCAUUUCUGACGCUAAGGCACGAAAGCGUGGGGAGCGAACCGGAUUAGAAACCCCAGUAGUCC